rnacentral:tRNA from 1 species
GGAAAUAGCUCAGUUGGUAGAGUACUUGCCUUGCAUGCACAAGGCCCUGGGUUCAGUCCCCAGCACCA